rnacentral:rRNA from 1 species
CCUACGGGUGGCAGCAGUGAGGAAUAUUGGUCAAUGGACGCAAGUCUGAACCAGCCAUGCCGCGUGCAGGAUGACGGCCCUAUGAGUUGUAAACUGCUUUUGUACGAGGGUAAACUCAGAUACGUGUACCUGUUUGAAUGUAUCGUACGAAUAAGGAUCGGCUAACUCCGUGCCAGCAGCCGCGGUAAUACGGAGGAUUCGAGCGUUAUCCGGAUUUAUUGGGUUUAAAGGGUGCGUAGGCGGUAGGUUAAGUUAGAGGUGAAAUCCCGAGGCUCAACUUCGGAAUUGCCUGUGAUACUGGUAGGCUAGAGAGUAGUUGAGGUAGGCGGAAUGUAUGGUGUAGCAGUGAAAUGCUUAGAGAUCAUGCAGAACACCGAUUGCGAAGGCAGCUUACCAAGCUACUACUGACGUUGAGGCGCGAAAGCGUGGGGAGCAAACAGGAUUAGAUACCCUAGUAGUC